rnacentral:rRNA from 1 species
AGUGAACGCUGGCGGUAUGCCUAACACAUGCAAGUCGAACGGCAGCACAGUAAGAUCUUGCUCUUACGGGUUGCCGGUGGCGUACGUGUGAGGAAUACAUCCUGAUCUACUUUUUCGUGUGGGAUAACGUAGGUAAACUUACUCUAAUACCGCAUACCACCUACGAGUGAAAGCAGUGGAUCUUCGGACCUUUCGCGAUUGAAUUAGCCGAUGUCGGAUUAGCUAGUUGGCUGGGUAAAGGCCCACCAGGGCGACGAUCCGUAGCCGGUCUGAGAGGAUGAUAAGCGGCAUUGGAGCUGGGACAGGGUCCAGACUACUACGGGAGGCAGCAGUGGGGAAUAUUGGACAAUGGGCGCGAGCCUGAUACAGUGAUACCGCGUGGGUGAAGAAGGCCUUCGGGUUGUAAAGCCCUUUUGUUGGGAAAGAAAAGCAGCAGGUUAAUACGAAGCUGUUCUGACGGUAACCAAAGAAUAAGCACCGGCUAACUUCGUG